UGUAUUUGUGUUUGUGUAUGUGAAGAAACAAUGGGCCUCAUUAACCAAUAUCUUCCUAAGAAUUUUCUUAACUGUGUUCUUAAGAAGGUCCUACGAAAAC